AUAUAAUUGAGCUUUUGUUUUUUUAUGAGUUGGGGGGGGUUAUGAGGGGAUAAAAUCAGAAAAGAGAGACACACGCGAAUUAUUGCUCCAUUAUACGCUACUCCCCCCUCUCUCACUCCUUCUCUUCUCUGCGAAUCCUUGAUUUCUAUCGACGGCAUCAUGGCCAAGAGCUCCUUCAAGUUGGAACACCCUCUUGAGAGGCGACAGGCUGAAGCUGCUCGAAUCAGGGAGAAAUACCCUGACAGAAUUCCGGUUAUUGUGGAGAAGGCCGAGAGGAGUGACAUACCUGACAUCGACAAGAAAAACUGCAAUGAUGUCUGCAAUUUACGACGAAAAUAAAGAUGAGGAUGGCUUCCUAUACAUGACUUACAGUGGAGAGAACACAUUUGGGUCAUUCUGAAAUUGGAGUCUGGCUGAGUCAUGUAUAUAGUCCUAGAAAACAUGUAAAUUCUCUUUGAUUAUCUAUCUGGUCUUAUCCUUAUCAAGAGAUUGCUGUUGCAAACAAUGUCAACUUCGAUGGUUUUAUGUUAAUCCUAUGGUAACUUCUAAUAUAUUUUCAAGUUUCAGUUUCGUGUGUUAAUAUAGUUCCCUUGCUGCUUCAAUAAACCUCUGCUGGCAGUAAUUAUGUGUUGGGCUCUCCUUAUCCUGUUACUGAAUACGGAUUUAAAGCUAUUAGGCCGCUCUCAUUUCCCUGAUCUCUAGAAUGAUUGCAGUGGUUUCGGCUGUAGAUUUGGACCAAAUCCAUCUACAAAAGGCCGAUGACUCCAUGAACCAGCCGAUUGAUCCCCUCUAUUUCAGGAUUUCGACCAAACAGAUUCCCCACCAAGAAACUGUUUUCCGACAAAAUUAUUGAGCUUUCACCAAACAAAUCUUUAUGCUACUACUGGGUCAAGCAUUUGCCUGUUGGAUUGCCACUUUGUACAUGACAACCGCAUACCAAUUGGACGAACCAAUUAUGUUUUGGUGGCUCUCACAAGCAAUGGUCAACUUCUCAAAAUUACAGUCGAUUUCCGAACUUUCACGGGUCAUAACCACCAACUAUGUUUUUAAUUACUACUUAUUUUUCUGCUAAUGAACUCUAUAGAAUUGGUGCCAAAAUAGGACACGCCGUCUAAAUAUUGUCAGAGACUUGACUAAAACACGAUAUGAAAUUGGUUUUUGUAUCUUCAUUGACAUUUGUACUCCUACUUUCAAUAUAUUCAUCUUCAUUUUUCUUUUUUCUAGUCUUUGAAGCUUAAAUUAACGAGACGUGUACGAAAUCAUAAGAUUUGAUCCCAAGAAAUUGGAUCGUGUGGUUGAGAAAGCAUACACAAUACAUGACGUGAGUUUAGACACAAGUUCUUCUUUCCUAAAUUACGGAGUCCAAUCACAAAAAUUCUUUUGAAUUUCAUAUUUUAAUUUUGAAAAGUAAAUUUUACAACUUAGCUUGAUAGAAACGUAUGUUGCAUAAAGCUAUGUACCUAAUAAGAAAAUGGAUGAUGGUCAAAAUAAAAUGCAAAAACCAACGAUUAUUUGACUGAACUGACACCACCAUUUUCUCAACGUUUUUCCGCUCACCCCAACAUUGUAUUAUUGAAAAAGAAAUUACAGUACGCUGAGCAUUGCAAACUCUUGGUCAAAACAUAAUAAUAAGUGCAUCAAACACGUGUCAAUAGAACCAUUGGUCCUCCAAACAAAAGCGUGUCUUUAUCCACCACACAUAGACAUUGUCCCGCUGCUUGACAAACUUAAAUCCAAAAUGCAAAAAUAUCAUAUUAGAAAUAAAGAAAUCUACAUGCACGUAGUCAUGGCCUCCUUAUAUUGACCUUAGAAUUGUACCGAGUUUCACAUGGAAUAAUUCAAUGCCAUUGCAAUCGGGCAGUUAGCCGUUGCAAGCGUAUAUAUAAAGCAUUCCCACCCGACACAACCAAACAGCUUCGUCUCAAAGAAACAAGUCGCAAAGGAGAAGAUCGAGAGAGAAAACAAACAACGCAGUAACAACACCCAGAGAUCAAGAACAUGGCUAUGCCUUUGUUCAAUAUCUGGGGCUGCUUCUCGGAGCAAUCGGAGAGGAGCAGGUACGUCUGUGAAGGCGAUGUAUGUUAUCUACGUGGUUCAAAGGAAUCACAGAGUUCCAAUUCGAAGAAGAAUGAACACAAAUACAACAUUCGGAUCCCGUUCUAUCGGAUUUCAUCCAGAAAGUCUUCAAGUUGAAUCCCUUCAUGUGGGGUACUUAUAGCUUUGGAGUAAGGCUAAUUUUAUGCUUUUGAUCAAUUAUUGUAUAUUGCUCAUGUGGAGCCUUUUUCUUGCCCGCGCAUCGGGUCAGCCCCUUUGCAUGUUAGCUUAUUAGGGGCAAUAAUCUUUGUGUAGCUGGCUAGUGUAGAUAUCAAAAGAUUAAAGGUCCGGGGAGGGAUUAGAGAAAAACUCGAAUUCUUUAGGUAUUUUAGUGCAUGAUGAUAUCCACCUAGAUGCACGUGAUGGGAUAUCUUGCUUAGACAAUCUUGUUGUUUGAGCUGCAAACCUAGAUGUUCUGUAAGUUUUAAGGUUUUUAUGUUUUAGUGACUGUAAAUUUUCUGUUUAGACCCCCUUUCAGAUGGUAUAAAAGUUUCCCCGUAUCUCGUGGAAAUUCUUUUUUCUCUCUUCUUAUCUUCUGUUUUGGAAUCACGGGCUUAUGACAAAAGUCCAUUCAGAUAUAUUGAGGAUAUUGAAAGCAGAAGCAUGAUUUAACAUCGAAAAGUUUCUGCUCUAUGUGCCUUUUGCCUCUACAAAACUUUCUUCAUGAGAAAAUGCAGUUGACCCGAAUUAACAAAUUGAGUGGUGAUAUGAACUUCUCUAUGCAUACCGCGUCUAGUAAAAGUUGUUUGCGUUUUGCCAUCUUUUCUUUAGCUCUCAGCCACACUUAUUUCGGAAUAGAACCGACAACUAGAUCAACUUUUGAUGUGAAAGGCUGGAAAGUAGGGAUGCAUCUAUCAAAUUCCACUUUAUGAUGGUCCAUACCGGCAUGGCCGGCCGUUGUGCAGAAUUAGCUACACGGGAUCAUGUUGGAUGUUGCAACAGUUAGGUUGGCACAUUUUCCUUUUGCAAUAUCUGUGUGUUUUAAAUGAAAAUAUGAAAAUAAUUUCCCCUUCUUGAACAUCAUCCCUGAUGCGAGUUUGUCGGAAGAAUCAGAAAGCUUCUGAAAGGAAAAUCAAGAGACAUGUAAAGAGGACUGCUUGUUGAGUAUCAUAAGUAAAUUGAGAGAAAGACGAUCAUUUUCAUAAGAGUUGGAGAGCCAAAUCAGGCUGCUGAGGAUCAACCAGGACACCUGAUGGAGGCUUUCGAGGAGACCCUGAUUGGGAACCAAUAUUUAAGUCGGGAGCAAAAUGCAU